rnacentral:rRNA from 1 species
GACGAACGCUGGCGGCGUGCUUAACACAUGCAAGUCGAACGGAAAGGCCCUGCUUUUGUGGGGUGCUCGAGUGGCGAACGGGUGAGUAACACGUGAUUAACCUGCCCUUGACUUUGGGAUAACUUUAGGAAACUGGGGCUAAUACCGGAUAGGAGCUCCUGCUGCAUGGUGGGGGUUGGAAAGUUUCGGCGGUUGGGGAUGGACUCGCGGCUUAUCAGCUUGUUGGUGGGGUAGUGGCUUACCAAGGCUUUGACGGGUAGCCGGCCUGAGAGGGUGACCGGCCACAUUGGGACUGAGAUACGGCCCAGACUCCUACGGGAGGCAGCAGUGGGGAAUAUUGCACAAUGGGCGGAAGCCUGAUGCAGCAACGCCGCGUGCGGGAUGACGGCCUUCGGGUUGUAAACCGCUUUCGCCUGUGACGAAGCGUGAGUGACGGUAAUGGGUAAAGAAGCACCGGCUAACUACGUG